UACCCGCUGAACUUAAGCAUAUCAAUAAGCGGAGGAAAAGAAACCAACAGGGAUUGCCUCAGUAACGGCGAGUGAAGCGGCAACAGCUCAAAUUUGAAAUCUGGCCCUUUCAGGGUCCGAGUUGUAAUUUGCAGAGGAUGCUUCGGGUUCAGCUCCGGUCUAAGUUCCUUGGAACAGGACGUCAUAGAGGGUGAGAAUCCCGUAUGUGACCGGUUGCCAUGCCCGUGUGAAGUUCCUUCGACGAGUCGAGUUG
rnacentral:rRNA from 1 species